UACGAAGGGGGCUAGCGUUGUUCGGAAUUACUGGGCGUAAAGCGCACGUAGGCGGAUACUUAAGUUAGGGGUGAAAUCCCAGAGCUCAACUCUGGAACUGCCUUUAAUACUGGGUAUCUCGAGUCCGGAAGAGGUGAGUGGAAUUCCGAGUGUAGAGGUGAAAUUCGUAGAUAUUCGGAGGAACACCAGUGGCGAAGGCGGCUCACUGGUCCGGUACUGACGCUGAGGUGCGAAAGCGUGGGGAGCAAACGGG
rnacentral:rRNA from 1 species